GCAUGGGUAACUCAGUUGGUUAAGUGUCUGACUUUGGCUCAGGUCAUGAUCUCAUAGUUCAUGGGUUCAAGCCCCAUAUCAGGCU
rnacentral:tRNA from 1 species